UACACAGUGUGAUUGUUGGAAUCACUGCAAUCACACUCCUCAACGUGUAAAGAGGGGAUGGGGCUGGAAACCCUGGCCUGAACACCGAGGUUCCCACAGAUGAAGACUAGGCCUUUGGGAUGACACAGCGCCAGUGUGGCCAUCAGGAGCCCCGAUUCUGCAUUCUGGAUUCAUACGCCUUGCUCAUGUCAAAUUUUGGAGCCUCAAGCAGGUAUGAAAAGGGUGGGCCUUCAAGGGCUCCUCGACUCAUCACUCUCCGCUAUGGAAAAGCCAGGUCGUCCCAGGAGCCCCUUCAGCCACGCCACGCUCUCAGUGUUGCUCAGCCGACCCAGGAUUAAUAUUUGGGGAGAUGAAGAAACAUAUUUCCAAAUCCCAGAGGGGAUCACUUGGGCCAAGCUCUACUCCUUCAAGAUGUACGAGUUGCCGCACUGAUGUCUCCACCUAGAACUUGUAAAGAUACUCAUGAAUUUCCACAAGCUGCACACCCACUCCUCCCAGGCUAAGUGCUGGAUAAGGGGAUCUCCAGCCCAAGAGGCCUCUCCUGCAGGGCCUCUGGGGUCCUUGGUGACCAGUGCACUCAGUCUCUUAGGAAGCCAGCCCCAGCCAGCGAGGUGCAUGGAGUCCACAGAAAAGGGCCCGGCCUUCUCCAAGAUGUUUGUUGGUAAGAUACCUCUCAUGCCUGCUCCUCGACUUGUUGCUACCAUCCAGCCUCGGAGGCCACUUUGUUCUCUUCUUCCCAUUUUUUUCUCUAAUUGUGCUCUUGUCUCCUCUCCACACACACAUACGUCCACCAUACUGUCCUUCCUCCCAUCUGAGUCAUGUCUCAAUCUUCCUGCUUUGUUUCCCAGAUGCCCCUUUCAGGCACAGCUCACCCAGGGAAUGCUAACCCUGCUUUUGUGCAGCGUCCUGUGCAGCCCUGCCCAGGAGGAGUCCAAGCCCACAGGGUUCCCCCUCCUUAGGUCAGCUGUGGAAAGCCAGGCUCAAACAGUGGGUCCUACAUGUUCAAGGUCCCUGGAGAGGAUCGGGGGGGAGAAUUCCAAUAAUUGCAGAUGAAUCCAAAUUAUGGGGAAAGUGCCAGCUGUGAUUUAAGAUCAGAUAAAGGACAAUGCAAAGGGGGAGAGUAGGAGGAGGGUGACACUGAGAAUAUCUGCUUAUUUCCAUUUUUGUCAUCUUGAACUUUAGCUACAUGACUACGAUCUGCGGCCCCAUUAUUCUGGCUGGUUAGUGCAUCAGGCCAAGAAUAAAGCAGUUAAUUUCCAAGUAACCUUGACUCGCAAUGCGGAGAGCCUCUCAGCACGUCAGGGCCAGCCACGUUACGAGGUCACUGCUCCCUUUAACAGCCUCUAGCGGGAAACACAAAAGCCUGCAUACUGGCUGUGUUCCCUUGCCCUGGACUCCAUCCUGUUUGGGUGGGUCUCCCUUGCUUGGCAUAUGUGUGAAGGCAUCUGUCUGUUUCCCCUACUCUAGUUUGGUCUGAAACUGAUUUAUUCAAAAUCUGUUAUGUAUUUAGCAUGUGUCAUACCCCGAAUACUGAGUUUCAGUGCUUUUAAAGUAACU
ensembl:lncRNA